rnacentral:rRNA from 1 species
GACGUAGGGCGCAAGCGUUGUCCGGAUUUAUUGGGCGUAAAGAGCUCGUAGGCGGUUCGUCGCGUCGAAUGUGAAAACCCGGGGCUCAACUCCGGGCCUGCAUUCGAUACGGGCGGACUAGAGUUCGGUAGGGGAGACUGGAAUUCCUGGUGUAGCGGUGAAAUGCGCAGAUAUCAGGAGGAACACCGGUGGCGAAGGCGGGUCUCUGGGCCGAUACUGACGCUGAGGAGCGAAAGCGUGGGGAGCGAACAGG